rnacentral:tRNA from 1 species
GGGCUGGGGCUCGGUGGUAGAGUGCUCACCUAGCACGUGUGAGGCCCUGGGUUCAAUUCUCAGCACCACA